GGAUGUCAGGGCGAUCUGGCUGCAACAUCUGUCACCCUAUUAAUCACCAGGGUUGAUUCAGGUUCCCUGGAUGGCCAGGCGGGUGUCCCCUUCCUCCCUCACCACUCUAUUUGCAUCCCUCCUAAAGCUACAUGCUUGGUCAAAGAGGAAGACCUUCCCCGAUAGAGGAGGACUGUUCUUCGGUCAAGGGUAUACAAUAGCUAUGCUCCCCUGCUAGAACCUCCAAACAAGCUCUCAAAAGAUCAUCAGAGACUAAUAUGAACAAUGAUAUGCUCACUCACUAGAAAACCUAUAGGAAAUGGAUACAUUC
rnacentral:snRNA from 1 species